rnacentral:rRNA from 1 species
GACGAAGGGGGCUAGCGUUGUUCGGAAUUACUGGGCGUAAAGCGUGCGCAGGCGGUUCGCUAAGACAGAUGUGAAAUCCCCGGGCUUAACCUGGGAACUGCAUUUGUGACUGGCGGGCUAGAGUAUGGCAGAGGGGGGUAGAAUUCCACGUGUAGCAGUGAAAUGCGUAGAGAUGUGGAGGAAUACCGAUGGCGAAGGCAGCCCCCUGGGCCAAUACUGACGCUCAUGCACGAAAGCGUGGGGAGCAAACAGG